AUCCAGUCCCCGUGUGUUUGUUGCCUGGCAGUGAAGCUGUGGUGGAAUUAUGAAUAAACCCCAAAGAGCUCUUACUGGUAACCUGGCUCAAUGGGCACCCUGUAGUCUGCCGAGCAAUUGUAGCAGCGACUGUGCAGGAGCAGCAAAAAGGUCCCUUGCAAGGUUUGCUGGUGCCGUGGGUGGGCAAGGAGCAAAACAGGCAAGGAAGGGAGCUUUGGUUGCGACUGGUGCUGAUGACUGCCCCAAUUUCAGCAUGAUCAAGCCUCAUUGAACUGUGAGAUGUCAAUGUGGUGAUCAGUGUUCCCUGGCGGACUUUCCUGGACCUUGGGCCCACCUAAUGGAGCCAAGUUUUGGUGUCACAGAGGGCUGUGUCUGCAUACGCGGGAGGAUAAGGAAUAAUUACCAUAUAAUUAUGAUCCAGGUAAAUGCUGCAGCCAACACAUGCCUGAGAAUGAGUGGUUGGUGGAGGGGAAAAGGGAAAUGGGAUUUUUGAAUUAGAGAUAGGUAAUUUAUUGACUGUGGGCUCGUGUGUCGAUGUAUCAUUUGAUGUGUCUUUCGACAAGUGCUAUGGCAUUGCUUGUAGGUGGUCCUGGUGAUCGUACCCCGAGCUGAAGAUCUCAAUUUACUAUCCUCGUUAAUUCCUGGAGGUACUGUGACAGCUGGGGGGAGCAGACAGCAAGCCUUGAGUUUAACGUACACAAUAUUUAAGAUACAUUUCUGUUCAAACAACUAUAAAACGAAUUUUGUUCCUUUGUCCCCAGCACAGUGGGACACUUUGUGCUUGCUCUGUGGGAGAAGGGGAAUGGUGAGGGUUUGUUGAAGGGCUGUUGAUUAAAUCACAAAAAUAUGAAUAUUGGCACCGAGGCUGGAAAGGAGCAGUGCGUUUGCCCACUCCUCUCUCGGUCCCAACAGGUUUGUUCUUCACCAGGGAUUAUUUGUGCCCCUGUCUGUCCCGUUUGAAAUGUCACAUUUCCUGCUGCAAUUGGAAGGAGCUUUUAUCCGUGGGAUGUGUGUGUGUGUGUGUGUGUGUGUGUGUGUGUGUGUGUGUCUGAGGGGGUGUUUUCAUCACCGCUAGGUGAAUGUUUUAGUAAGCAAUGUCCAACACAUCACACGAAUGCUUGAAAAGAAGCAUUUUGCUAUUACUAAAGACUGUUAUUGCAGCUUGCGUGACCUUUCAGAGAUCUCUGGGAACUCGCAAGAAGGAGUGGGUUUAUAUAAAAAGGGAGCACGAUCUUAUUUUUAAGCUGUGGCAUGGGAGAGAGGUGGUUUAAGCCUGCUUAGUUCCCCAAAGGAGCUUCUCUUGCCUUCACAGGGCUUACCAGCGACAACCUCCAGGCAGUUGGCAGCAAACAUCUCCACAUUUUGGUGGAAAUUAG
rnacentral:lncRNA from 1 species